GCAUUUGGAAAUUGUUUUUUGACUUCACAAAUACUGAAUUCCCAAAUUUCGAAUUUUGAGGAUAAUGUUCCCGCAUUGUUUCCAAUCGUUUCGGAUAAUAAAAAAAAAUAUUUUGAUGUGUCAGUGCCCCUUUAGAGGGAUACUGAACCGAUAUCUGAAGUUUUCAAUAUAAGCCCCGGACGAGGUGCCCCGGACGUUACUAUACCUAAAAAUCAAGACCAUACCAAGGGAUCGGACUAUUAUAUUUCUUUGAUUGAAAAGCCGCGAUGGGGCAAUCCGUCGGCCGAAAGCCGCCGGUACGAUUGACGCCACCGCGGAGGAGCCCGAGCGGAACUGACGUCACAGACCUCUCGCUCCUUGGCAGCCUGGCUUGUCCCGCUGCAGUCCUAAUGGAGAACCGCGUCGAGUGAUCGAGGGAUCGAAGAAACUCGAUCCAUUCGGAUCGAGUUUCUUCGAUAGUUAUGCCGCGGUACUGCGCUGCACGAGACUGCUCAAACAGCGUAUGUUGCAGCAGCAGGCCUGCGCACAAGUUUCCGAGUGAGCCCACAUUGCGCAAGCUGUGGAUUCGCGCGGCCCGUCCUUCCCAGCCAACAUGGAAGCCCACCAAAGGCGAUUGUCUUUGCAUGGAACACUUCGAAGACGAGGACUACAAGACGAGCCCAAAGUUACGCAGAGUCUGGGCUUGCCUGUAAAACAGGCCUAUUUGAAGCCUGGCAUGGUGCCAUCGCUCUUCACACGAAAAUGCAAGCGAGAGCGGCACAGCGGUGCUGUGGAAAAACGGCGACGCAAAGAGCUGGUAUGUUCCGAGCUUGAGCAGGAUGUGCAAACUCCGCGGCAUCUUGAGCAUGUGCUAUUCCUCAUUGUGGCGAAUAAGGAGAUGCUGCUGAAUUUCGGAAUAGGAUACCCACAGUAUGAGUGCCACGCCAUUUAGAAAAGUAUAAUUGACGAAUUAAUGAAGGCACCGGCACAAGCAACGGCCACACUCAUCGCUGAAGAGGUCAGCACAUCGUCAACCCCUUCUGCUGACGACACAGAGCAAGGUCCUGACUCUGGACAUGAACCAAUGCACGAUGCAAGUGCUGGCAUCGAAAAACCUUUUUCGAGCUCAGCCCCCUCCAUCAGUAAUGCCAAACAGGCUCCUGACCUUCGGACCGCUGCUACGC